CAGGCCAUGUUUCUUGCCCGCGUUGAAGUACACGCCUCAGGCUCAACACCUACCACCUACUGCGCAACCCGCGUUGAAGUACACGCCUCAGGCUGGUAGUCUUCCGGUAUUACCAGGCAUCGUCCCGCGUUGAAGUACACGCCUCAGGACGGCACAAUUUC